UACGGAGGGUGCAAGCGUUGCUCGGAAUUACUGGGCGUAAAGAGCACGUAGGCGGUUUGGUAAGUCCGAUGUGAAAGCCCACGACUCAAUCGUGGAAGUGCAUUGGAUACUGCUAGACUUGAGUACAGGAGGGGUGAGCGGAAUUCCAGGUGUAGAGGUGAAAUUCGUAGAUAUCUGGAGGAACAACGGUGGCGAAGGCGGCUCACUGGACUGUAACUGACGCUGAGGUGCGAAAGUGUGGGGAGCAAACAGG
rnacentral:rRNA from 1 species